rnacentral:rRNA from 1 species
CGAAGAACCUUACCAAGGCUUGACAUACACCGGAAAGCAUCAGAGAUGGUGCCCCCCUUGUGGUCGGUGUACAGGUGGUGCAUGGCUGUCGUCAGCUCGUGUCSUGAGAUGUUGGGUUAAGUCCCGCAACGAGCGCAACCCUUGUCCCGUGUUGCCAGCAGGCCCUUGUGGUGCUGGGGACUCACGGGAGACCGCCGGGGUCAACUCGGAGGAAGGUGGGGACGACGUCAAGUCAUCAUGCCCCUUAUGUCUUGGGCUGCACACGUGCUACAAUGGCCGGUACAAUGAGCUGCGAUACCGCGAGGUGGAGCGAAUCUCAAAAAGCCGGUCUCAGUUCGGAUUGGGGUCUGCAACUCGACCCCAUGAAGUCGGAGUCGCUAGUAAUCGCAGAUCASCAUUGCUGCGGUGAAUACGUUCCCGGGUCUUGUACACACCGA